rnacentral:misc_RNA from 1 species
UCACCCCUCAAGCCCCGUGCUUGGUGUUGGACGGCCUGGCUGGGCGUGCUGCCCCGGCCCCUUUUAAAGACAAUGACGGCGGUCCGUGGAACCCCCGGUACACUGAGCUUCUUUUAACGAGCACGUACCGGAAACAGGGCGCCCGGGCGACGGUCUGAAACCCCCUUAUUUCUCAAA